CCCUAAGCGGGUGGUAAACUCCAUCUAAGGCUAAAUAUGACCACGAGACCGAUAGCGAACAAGUACCGUGAGGGAAAGUUGAAAAGCACUUUGAAGAGAGAGUUCAAGAGUACGUGAAACCGUUUAGGGGUAAACCUGAGAAACCCGAAAGGUCGAAGGAAGAAAUUCAUUCGCGUUUCGUAGCAGGCGUUGGACGGUCGAGUGACGGAAAACGCGUUCGCGCGUUUUCCGCGCCCUCCGUUUACACGAACCGGUAACGAACGCGUGCACUUUUCUUCUGGUAGGACGUCGCGAUCCGUUGGGCGUCGGUCUACGGCUCGCGGAGGAGCCCGUUCGUCGCCUCAACCGCGUACGAACGGACCCGCUUGUCUCCCGGCUGACUCGCUCGACGGUAUACGAAAGGUUUAAGGCCGCUCUAGUAGCGUUCGACUCGCGGCAAGCGCGCCAGAUGCGUCGGCGAUCGGACCCGGUGCCGAUUCUGACCUCUGGUGACUGUUGGCCGCGAAGUUCUCGAACAGACCUCGGACCGAUCUGCGACGCUAUAGCUUUGGGUACUUUCAG
rnacentral:rRNA from 1 species